rnacentral:rRNA from 1 species
ACUGAGCAGCACGCCGCGUGGAGGAUGACACUUUUCGGAGCGUAAACUCCUUUUGUUAGGGAAGAACAAUGACGGUACCUAACGAAUAAGCACCGGCUAACUCCGUGCCAGCAGCCGCGGUAAUACGGAGGGUGCAAGCGUUACUCGGAAUCACUGGGCGUAAAGGACGCGUAGGCGGAUUAUCAAGUCUCUUGUGAAAUCCUAUGGCUUAACCAUAGAACUGCUUGGGAAACUGAUAAUCUAGAGUGAGGGAGAGGCAGAUGGAAUUGGUGGUGUAGGGGUAAAAUCCGUAGAGAUCACCAGGAAUACCCAUUGCGAAGGCGAUCUGCUGGAACUCAACUGACGCUAAUGCGUGAAAGCGUGGGGAGCAAACA